GGGAUGCUCCUGUUGGAAAACCUUCAAAGUCACUCUUUAAAAACCAAGCAUAGACUGAAAGGUGACAGUGAAAGUGUUUCUUUUUGUUCUUAGCACACCCAGAAAGAGGAAAAAUAAACUUCCCCAGAACUCGGCUUAGUUCUCUGAAAUCUGCCGAUAUUUUUCCUAUAGCUUAACUCUAUGUGCCGCUCACUUAGAUGAGCCAAGUGGUAGCUUAGAUCCUGACUUCCUGAAAGCAUUCUUGGAGUAGAAACAAUGUGUGCCUGGCAUCAUACUGGGUAGUGUUUCCUUAAAGUUCCUGCUUGCCACAAGAUUCCUUGAAUCCCCUUCAUCUGUCACACUGGCACUUAAUGUGAUGACUGGAGGUGUUUCACAGUGAAGAUGUUUGCUCAUCAGGUUCAUAGGUGAAUUCACAGAAGAAGAAUUCAGAUGCAUCGACUUCUUGGUCUUGGAGUUCGCAUGCUGGAUAGGCUGCCCAUGCAUGUUGACUUGAUUCCAAGUUAUUGACUGUGGACACGAGAUGACACAUAUUGUUGUUUGUUUUAGGAAAGAAACAGAAAAUACUCAUUUUUAUGACAUCGUUAAAAACUAGCUUGAAGAUGGGAAGAGGAGUCACUUGUGGGAGAAGUUACCUAACCUUUGUGGGAAGGAUGGAUAUGUACCCAGUGAGACAGGUUCCCGCUAAUACGUGUCUCCUGGUUGCUCUUCAGAACAAGAAAUGCCAGCCCCAGAGGACGCCCUUCUGCUCUCACUUCAGUAUGGGCCUCUAGCUUUGUGCUGGCAUUCCUCCAUGGCCACUGCUGCAGCCCACGUCUGAGGGGUUCUGGCCCCGGACAUGAGCAGGGGUUUGCUGGGGCAGGCGCGAUGAGAGUGGUUCUGUAGCGGGUCUCGGGAUGCAGGGGUCUGCAGCAGAAUUCUGUUGUCUGUCUCCACAGGACCUUCGUGUACACAGAUUAUCUGGUGUCCUCAUGCAUACCACCCACCAGUCACUGCACCAGAGUCCACUGUGAGCUCUGAGCUUUGAGUCCGUGCCUUUCGCCUUCUACCUACGACCCAUCCAUAAAGAAUUGUCCCUGCCUCCUCGUGUGGUACCACUUAGGUCCACUGGCCAUUUUCCAGCAAUGUCUUGGCUCGUUGUACAGACUUGCCCACCACGUUUUCAGCUCCUUUUUGAACUCAAAAAGCUGAAAGUACGUGGGGAAAGGUAACUUGUGUUACCUCUACCUAUCUCAAGAGUCCUAUUAUCCUUUCUCCCAGAACAUUGGAUUCCUAAUGCAAUGAUUUCUUUGAAACUCUGUCUUCUGCAACGUGGAUUCUUAGGAGACAAAUAUAAAA